UAAGUGGGUAGUUACGGAUAAGAUGUUGUUGGCUACCACACUUAAAACAGGAUCAAGUGACACGAUGAUGUAGCUGAUUACCAUGAUUCUUUCCAUAAGUACGACAGGUCGGUGCCCUACUAGGAGUUGAUGGUGGUCUAAGAGAUACCUCUGUUACCAUUCUGAGCCUCUUAGCUUAUGAACUAUACCCUAGAAUAUG
rnacentral:lncRNA from 1 species